UGUUCUAUCUUUACACAGCCUCACACUUGUUCUUCUUAUAUCUCAGAUGUCACAAGUGGCCGGUCAUCCAUCAYUCAGCUCGCCUGGAGUGGAACAACUGGUGCUACUGGUGUUCCAGUAAAAAUAUAGGACAAACAGUUCUAGAUGGAGACAAGUGUUGGGUCUUCCUGACACCCAAAAAGGAGCUGAGGGUCUGUCUGCAGUGUGCCUGUGCCCCUCCACACAGCUGUGUUUUCCACUCUGAUGGAAAGAACAGCAAAAGGGAUGGAGGAAACCGGAGUGUCUGGAAAAAACCCACACAAGCAGGAGGAGAACAUGCAAACUCUGCACAGAAAGACCCCAGGUCCGAACCGGGGAUCGAACCCAGGACCUUCUUGGUGUGAGGCAUCAGUACUACCACUGGGCCAUCCCAAGAUGUCUCSUGGGAUAUUUACUGAGCAGCACACAGUCAAAAACUACUUUGACAUGUUUGGACAGUCUCAAAGGCUGGAGCUCUUGUUUCAAGGGUGCCAAUGUUGAAGCGCCUGCUUUCUGCUGUCUGUAAGGAUUAAACAGUGAUACACUGGCUCCAAACCAGCAAGAUACUUCUGGAUCUACACUGGAACACAGGGACUCUGACCUCUGGGAAACCACAUGAAUGUUAUCCAAUACAAGUUUGUUUGCCUUCGUGCYAGCAUCAUAAACCACUCUGGUUUUGAAUUAGCUCAGAUCUUUUGAACUGAGGUUCUGUGGAAAGAUUAUGAACCAAUAAUAUGUUACCUGUAAUAGAUGACCAAACUCAGUUUGGAAGAAUAAAGUCUAAUUCUAACCAGAUCGAAAAGUUAGUGGCUUGUCUGAGUAGGAAGACUUCGUGGACUGCCGCCAUCCUAAAAAAAGAA